rnacentral:rRNA from 1 species
CAGCCGCCACGGUAAUACGAAGGGUGCAAGCGUUAAUCGGAAUUACUGGGCGUAAAGCGCGCGUAGGUGGUUUGUUAAGUUGGAGGUGAAAUCCCCGGGCUCAACCUGGGAACUGCCUCCAAAACUGGCUGACUAGAGUACGGUAGAGGGUGGUGGAAUUUCCUGUGUAGCGGUGAAAUGCGUAGAUAUAGGAAGGAACACCAGUGGCGAAGGCGACCACCUGGACUGAUACUGACACUGAGGUGCGAAAGCGUGGGGAGCAAACAGGAUUAGAUACCCGAGUAGUCCCUGUCUCUUAUAC